UACGAAGGGGGCUAGCGUUGUUCGGAAUUACUGGGCGUAAAGCGCGCGCAGGCGGUCUUCCAAGUCAGUGGUGAAAGCCCGGAGCUCAACUCCGGAAUUGCCAUUGAAACUGUGAGACUGGAGUACGAGAGAGGUGAGUGGAAUUCCCAGUGUAGAGGUGAAAUUCGUAGAUAUUGGGAAGAACACCGGUGGCGAAGGCGGCUCACUGGCUCAUUACUGACGCUCAGGCGCGAUAGCGUGGGGAUCAAACAGG
rnacentral:rRNA from 1 species